UAGGAUUACAGGUGUGAGCCACCGUGCCUGGCCGAUUGCAUUCGUAUCCACUGCUUAGUAGCACCUACGAGAAAUCAUUAACUCUACCUUGAUCAAAGCAAUGCAAAACAAAACCCACAUAAUUCUUGGGAAAAAAAAGUACACCUCAGAGGAAAAACAUCAAGACCAUUUGUAGAAAACUUUAAAAAUUCAGAGAAGCAGCCCUCCAUAAAGUACUGUGAGUUAGUAAUUUUAUAAAAAUAUUGUCCAGGGUGUUGAACUGUGGGAGAGGUUUUGGAGCCUGGGCUCACUGUUCACACCUGGCGGUGGGCAUUUCUCCUAACGUACAGUUUUCAGUUCUGUACACAAGGCUCUUGGCCUUCACCCAUGGCACGCACCGAUAAAUGAUUAAACCACCUUCCUCAAGGAGGACGAAAAAGGCAGGAACAUACGUCUGAGCAGCUGAGGGUAAUACAGACGACUGAUGGUUUCCUUUAUCCCCUACUGUACACUGCAACUCACAGCACUGUUUCAAGUCAUGGUGGCAAGGAGAAACAUCUCUGUUAGUACUGACUCAACCUCUCUCUUUCUCUCUCACCGUGCCUAACCUACAGAUGCUCAUAUGUUAACUCUAUAAACAUUUUCUGAAUUGAUCUGUAUCAAGUCAUAACUCUUUGUCCUAACUGGCCCCUUAUCCUGAGUUCCUUUAUGCACUUGACAUGUACAAUUAUAUUCCUGUAUCCUGGUGCCUGCUUGCAACGCUAUGCAAAUAAGUGCACAGUGAAAAGGCAUGUUCUUACCCACAGUACUAGUGUGACUAAAUAGAGUAUCUCUUUCAUCGUGCCCUGUGUUCUGAAGAAGGCACUGGCUGUCAGUGCUCGCUGCCUUCCGCAGGGCAUGGAGAUCCAGCUGAGCUCCUGGGUGCAAGCUGAGCUACUGUGGACAAUCUGUCCCUCUCGCCACAUUAGAGGCAGGUUGAACUUGAAGACCUUGUGGCCAACUGGUGUGGCAGGAUAAUCCAGAGUCCUAGUUUCCUGGUUCUCAGGUUCCAGCCCACUGCUGCUGUAGCAUGUGCCUGGGCAGAAUGUGGGAUCCAGAGAAGUGUGUGUUUUAGGAGAAAUUGACUUUCCAAUUAUUUUGUUUUUGCUUUUUGAGACAAGGCCUCUUUCUGUCAUCCAGGCUGGAGUGCAGUGGUGCAAUCAUAGUUCACUGAAGCCUUGAAUUCCUGAGCUCACAAGAUCCUCCUGCGGCAGCCUCCCUCCAAAGUAGCUGGGAUUACAGGUCUUGACCUGGGAGCACCCCUAACAAACCUCUUACGUGCCGACCUCCACCUCCAUUGGCUUCCUGGAGACUCAACCUGCCACGUAUCAUGUUUCUCACAAGGACUAAAUUGCAUAGAACAUAAAGUUCUAAGCUGGGCGCUGUGGCUCACGCCUGUAAUCCCAACACUUUGGGAGGCAGAGGUGGACAGAUCACUUGAGGGCAGGAGUUCGAGACCAGCCUGGCCAACAUGGUGAAACCCUGUUUCUACUAAAAAUACAAAAAUUAGCCAGGCAUGCCUGUAAUCCCAGCUAUUUGGGAAGAGGAUGCAUGAAAAUUGUUUGAAUCCUGGAAGGCAGAGGUUGCAGUGAGCCAAGAUUGCACCACUGCACUCCAGCCUGGGCGACAGAGAGAGACUUCAUCUCAAAAAAAAAAAAAGAACAUAAAAGUUUUUAUCCCAGAGCUAGACACAGCGAACAAUAAACAUUAGUUGGUAUCAUUAUACUUUCUUUUCUCUAAUGGUUACAAAUGAAAAAAUAAAUAAAAUUCCUCUCAAAAGGCCAAAGGGGGCUGGGUAUGAUGACUCAUGCCUGUAAUCCUAGCACUUUGGGAGGUGAAGGCAG
rnacentral:lncRNA from 10 species